AAAUGUGAGGGUAAUCUGGCUGUUGCAUCUAUCACCCUGUGGAUCUCUGAGGUUGAUUUCCUGGUCUAGAGAGGUAGGUGGGUGUCCUAUUCCUCAUAUACCUUGACGUGUGUUCCUCCCAAUGCUGCAUGCUAGGUCAAAAAGGAUGACCAUCUCUGACAGAGGAGGAAGAUGCAUCAGUCAAGGUUAUACAGUAACUCUCUCCCUACUAUAACCUCUAAGCAAGAUUUCAAGUUCAUCAUUUGCUAAAAACAGCAAAAUGUACAGUCUGCAAUCAUAAAUUAGCUGUUUUUAUGUGGAAACAAU
rnacentral:snRNA from 1 species